rnacentral:lncRNA from 1 species
CACAUUUGACAUGGGAGUAGUUUAUGCAGCUAUUUCUGGAGACGUUUCUCCAUAUCAGUCAGAAAGAGGCAUAUCAGAGGCAGUUUGAGUGUCUUCAGCAGAGUUCUAUGAUUGUUACUCAAUAUGAGACCAGAUUAAUUGAUUUGUCUCGCCAUGCUCUUAUCAUAAUUCCCACCAAGAGAGAGAGAGAGAGAGAGAGAGAG